rnacentral:rRNA from 1 species
CAGUAGCCGCGGUAAUACGUAGGUGGCAAGCGUUGUCCGGAAUUAUUGGGCGUAAAGGGCUCGCAGGCGGUUUCUUAAGUCUGAUGUGAAAGCCCCCGGCUCAACCGGGGAGGGUCAUUAGAAACUGGGGAACUUGAGUGCAGAAGAGGAGAGUGGAAUUCCACGUGUAGCGGUGAAAUGCGUAGAGAUGUGGAGGAACACCAGUGGCGAAGGCGACUCUCUGGUCUGUAACUGACGCUGAGGAGCGAAAGCGUGGGGAGCGAACAGGAUUAGAUACCCCCGUAGUCCCUGUCUCUUAUAC